rnacentral:rRNA from 1 species
UUGGAUUUGUGGUGUGUCCAGUUGGCCUUUGCUCUUUGAGUGAUAGUGCUUUACUGGUCUGCCAUGUUUGGGUGGAAUCUGUGUGGCAUUAAGUUGUCGUGCAGGGGAUGCCCAUCGUUUACUGUGAAAAAAUUAGAGUGUUCAAAGCAGGCUUAUGCCUCUGAAUAUAUUAGCAUGGAAUAAUGAUAUAGGACCUUGGUACUAUUUUGUUGGUUUGCGCACUGAGGUAAUGAUUAAGAGGGACAGUUGGGGGUAUUUGUAUUCCAUUGUCAGAGGUGAAAUUCUUGGAUUUUUGGAAGACAAACUACUGCGAAAGCAUUUACCAAGGAUGUUUUCAUUAAUCAAGAACGAAAGUUAGGGGAUCGAAGAUGAUUAGAUACCAUCGUAGUCUUAACCAUAAACUAUGCCGACAAGGGAUUGGUGGAGUUUCGUUUCGUCUCCAUCAGCACCUUGUGAGAAAUCAUAAGUCUUUGGGUUCCGG